AAGCACUGGUUCCAAUUUCUUCGGAUUGCGGGACCUUUGACUGAGCGGCGGACGGGUGAGUAACGCGUGGGGAACCUGCCCCGUACCGGGGGAUAACAGUUAGAAAUGACUGCUAAUACCGCAUAAGCGCACAGUGAGGCAUCUCACAGUGUGAAAAACUCCGGUGGUACGGGAUGGACCCGCGUUGGAUUAGCCAGUUGGCGGGGUAACGGCCCACCAAAGCGACGAUCCAUAGCCGGCCUGAGAGGGCGACCGGCCACAUUGGGACUGAGACACGGCCCAAACUCCUACGGGAGGCAGCAGUGGGGAAUAUUGCACAAUGGGGGAAACCCUGAUGCAGCGACGCCGCGUGAGUGAAGAAGUAUUUCGGUAUGUAAAGCUCUAUCAGCAGGGAAGAAGACGACGGUACCUGACUAAGAAGCCCCGGCUAACUACGUGCCAGCAGCCGCGGUAAUACGUAGGGGGCAAGCGUUAUCCGGAUUUACUGGGUGUAAAGGGAACGCAGACGGCAUGGCAAGUCUGAAGUGAAAACCCGGGGCUCAACCCCGUGAUUGCUUUGGAAACUGUCAGGCUAAAGUACCGGAGGGGUAAGCGGAA
rnacentral:rRNA from 1 species